rnacentral:rRNA from 1 species
UACAGAGGUCCCAAGCGUUGUUCGGAUUCACUGGGCGUAAAGGGUGCGCAGGUGGGUUGGCAAGUUCGAUGUGAAAGCCCCGGGCUUAACCCGGGAAUGGCAUUGGAAACUGCUGAUCUGGAGGAUCGGAGGGGGGGGACUGGAAUUCUUGGUGUAGCAGUGAAAUGCGUAGAUAUCAAGAGGAACACCAGUGGCGAAGGCGAGUCCCUGGACGAUACCUGACACUGAGGCACGAAAGCCAAGGGAGCAAACAGG